AGUGAACGCUGGCGGUAGGCCUAACACAUGCAAGUCGAACGGCAGCACAGUAAGAGCUUGCUCUUACGGGUGGCGAGUGGCGGACGGGUGAGGCAUACAUCGGAAUCUACUUUUUCGUGGGGGAUAACGUAGGGAAACUUACGCUAAUACCGCAUACGACCUACGGGUGAAAGCAGGAGAUCUUCGGACCUUGCGCGAUUCAAUGAGCCGAUGUCGGAUUAGCUAGUUGGCGUGGUAAAGGCCCACCAAGGCGACGAUCCGUAGCUGGUCUGAGAGGAUGAUCGGCCACACUGGAACUGAGACACGGUCCAGACUCCUACGGGAGGCAGCAGUGGGGAAUAUUGGACAAUGGGCGAAAGCCUGAUCGAGCCAUGCCGCGUGGGUGAAGAAGGCCUUCGGGUUGUAAAGCCCUUUUGUUGGGAAAGAAAAGCAGCAGGUUAAUACCCCGCUGUUCUGACGGUACCCAAAGAAUAAGCACCGGCUAACUUCGUG
rnacentral:rRNA from 1 species